GUCUCCGGGCACGACGCCUGCCGACGAUGAGUGCGAGGCCGAACGA
rnacentral:misc_RNA from 1 species